rnacentral:rRNA from 1 species
GACGGUGGGGGCAAGUGUUCUUCGGAAUGACUGGGCGUAAAGGGCACGUAGGCGGUGAAUCGGGUUGAAAGUGAAAGUCGCCAAAAAGUGGCGGAAUGCUCUCGAAACCAAUUCACUUGAGUGAGACAGAGGAGAGUGGAAUUUCGUGUGUAGGGGUGAAAUCCGUAAAUAUACGAAGGAACGCCAAAAGCGAAGGCAGCUCUCUGGGUCCCUACAGACGCUGGGGUGCGAAAGCAUGGGGAGCGAACAGG